CGGAUGCUGCCUGGGCAGCCGGGCGUGCUGCGCGGGGUGCGCGGGGUGGGCCGGUGCGCGACUGCGCGGGGUUCGCAGGGAGCGCUCCUUCUGCUGCGCUUGGGGACGUGUGAGCGCUGGGCACCCGCGGGUCUGCGUUUCCGGCGCAGCCGCUGCCGCCGCCUCCUCCUGAGCGAGUUGGGCUACGUGAGGCCUUGGCCCUGGCUAUGUGAAGCGGGGCCACAGAAGAAAGGGAAACAAGCCCGACGAGGUGCUGCUGAAGGACGCCCUGGAGCUCUGGGUGAACCAGUGGAAAAGCGGUUCCUUCAUCCUAGGGCGGCGCUGCGGGCACCGCGAGGGGGGCGGUGGCCUCAGCGGAGGCUUGUGAGUUACAAGGGAAAAAGGAAUAAGUUUAUGGUGCAGAACCCAAGCAGCCACUAACUUAAGAGACCAAGUGAAUAUCACCAGGAGUGGAACAAGUUGAAAUUGUGUGCACACCUGAGAGGAUGUGAUGCAUAGCAUUCCUUCUAUGAGGCUGGCCAGAGACUUUAGCCUCUAAUCAGCAUCAGGCAAGCCAAAACUGGGAUUUGCUGCUGAAGAACUGGCCAGUAAUCUUUGAAGCCGUCAAGCUCACGAAAGUCAAAGGGUGUUGAGCAUGGAACCCAGUGCCUCCCACAUGCCAGGCAGGUUCUGUGUCACUGAGCCCCAGCCGGAAGCCUGGUAUAUGCAGUUUUGAAUUUGGAUCUUUUCCUGGGGAUGUGCCCUAGUCCUCUCUGAUGUGGUGCAACUGCAGAGAGCUUCAAGCCCCAGCCAGCCUGCUAACAUGAGGGCCAUCCAGUGACAGAGUGUGUCCUGCUGCCAAGGCAGGAGGAAGAAGUGGAUACAUCCCAUGCAUUUGCGAGUCCUGUGUUUUGGUCCCCUUAGGACGGGUGGCCUUGUGGGUGCUCUAGAGGCAGUGCUGGAUUCCAACACUGAGGUCGCUCCCUUUCGAGUUCUGCUUUCAAGUUCCCGGCUCACAGGUGUACUCUCCCAUAGCAUGUGGAGAGUUACUGGAUGGAUGCAACGUUCACUGGGCCAUAGCCACUGGUUCCACAUUAGAGGAAAUCAACCAGCACUGGAACUGGCUGGAACAGAAUCUCCUCCAUACUCUGUCUGUGUUUGAUAAUAAAGACGACAUGGCCAGCUUUGUCAAGGGGAAGGUGAAGUUCAACUUGUAAUCCCUUGGGUUGAUAUCCAGAAAUUGGAAAGGACAGCCAACGUCUUUGUGGCGGACACCAUCCGGAUCACCACGCAGAAUAAGGAGCGUGACUCCUCCAAUAUUUCUGAUCCUGGAUGCAGUCUUAAAGAUCAUGGAGCAGCUGGUAGAGGUGAUGCUGCGGAGGCUGCUUGAUAAUGAGUUCUGGAGCCAGAUGUGCAGGAGCCAAGCCAGAUCACCAAGAGAUAUACUGACCGUCAUGUGUACUUUGACAUGUCCUACAUCCAUGGAGUACAGCUUCCCUUCUUGUGGUUGCCGAAGAUAUGGAGCUAUAACAGGCAUAUAUUCCUAUACAAAGGGACCUUGAAACCCAAGCACAGAAGGAGCUGUUGCAAGUCUUUUUCAGGCUACCAAGAAAGGAGAAGCUGCACACUGUGGUGGAGUGCUCCUCUGGACACCCUUCAGUCGGUUCCACACUGCAGGACGCAUGUUUUCCUCUGACAGCUCCACCUGCUUUGCCAGCAGAGAAGAUGGCUGCUACAAUGUUGUCCUUCUGCUCAGAG